rnacentral:lncRNA from 1 species
GGCAGGAAUUAACAUGAAUUGGAUGAAAGAAGUUGAAGUAGUAAUGAGUUGGACUCAAGAGAAGGAGGAAAAGUGCACAAAAGAAGAAUCGCAACCACCGCUGAGCACCAUUUUCACUGCUGAGCGCUAUCUUUGCUGUGGAGUUCUCUGGCUGACGCUUAAGCACCAAUGCUGAGGGGAAAAUCAAGUGUCGUAGCCACCGUUGAGCGACACUUUUACCACUGAGUGCCAGCCUGUUCAGUGAGUUCACUGCCAAAUGCCUGGGCGUCAAUGCUGAG